AAGGCGAAGCCAAACAGCCGCCAUUUUACUUAUGGGCUGGGAGUGCACUGCGAGCCCGUCGAGCCUUCAGUGUCCAUUUUGCAACAGCGCUUUGCACGUUACGCUGAACGGCUCAGGUAAUGGCACUUGAGGAGCAGGUACGGUCUACUUUUUUUCCAGACCAGCGAGAGCUGGCAAAGUGAAUAUCGCUCAGCGUUUCAGGGCAGACGUAGCCUCGGCCGUUCGCAUCGAACUCUUCCUUUCACCACAUCCAGUACCAGCUUCUGUUCUGCCCGCACACCGCCCUCCCCGGCUUCAGCCCCUCCAGCGAUAUGGCUGAUUGAGGGAGGGGAGGCGGCGGCUGGGGUUUCAUUCGACGCCCACCAGGGGCUGAGCGAGCCUCCUUCAGUGCGCAAACUCGGGGCACCACAUAAAAGCUGGGCUGGCAGCUCUUACCCUGCCUCGAUGGAGCCGCUACAAUCGGGUGACUGGAGAAGCAGUUAGCAGCAGCGCCAUAGACUAGCGUCCCCCCACACCUUGGCCAGAGAGUUUGGGGCUCUAAACAGCUGCUGCUGCGGCAAGAGGGAGCCGAGGUGAAGGGAUCUGGCUAGCUGGUUGGACGCAAAGGAGGCGGCUGUAAUGGGGCAUUGAGUGAGGGAGGAGGGGGGCGAUUAAACGUCUUGUGACCAUGGCGGA